CCCUUAGAUGUUCUGGGCUGCACGCGUGCUACGCUGAUUAUUUCAACAAGUGUUUUAACUGGAGAGUUCGCGUAAUCCUGAAAUGUUAUCGUGAUGGGAGUAGAGUAUUGUAUUUGUUAAUCUUUAACGAGGAAUUCCUAGUAAGUGUAGGUUUAUAAGUUGUUCUGAUUACGUCCCUGCCCUUUGUACACACCGCCCGUCGCUCCUACCGAUUGAUUGAUCCGGUGAAUUACAUAGAAUUUUGCGUUUUACAUGACGGAAGACGAAGUGUUUUAAACCUUAUCAUUUAGAGGAAGGAGAAGUCGUAACA
rnacentral:rRNA from 1 species